CUUUGUCACAAUAUUAAUAUAUAUAUAUAUAUAUAUAUAAAUAUAAAUUUUAAUUUUAAUUGGGGUAGCUCCCAAAAUAUUGGGGCAUAUAAAAAAGGCAACUCUGUUCCGCAUAGUAGCUGUUGACAUUAUAGUUGCGCAGGAACUUUGUUGACUCUAGAGAACCUCGGGCAAAUUGCACAUCCCCGUGGCGUCGACUUUGCAUGCAGAUGUCAUCCAUAUCAACUUCCGAUGCCAUUUUCUGCGCCUACCAUGGUGACCAUGGGUAACGGGGAAUCAGGGUUCCAUUCCAUACAGGGACCCUGAGAAAAGGCUACCACAUGCAAGGAAGGCAGCAGGCGCGCAAAUGACCUACUCCCGACGCGGGAGGGUAGUGACAACAAAUUACAACACAGGACUCUUUAGAGGCCCUGUAAUUGUAAUGAGUCCACUUGAAAUCCUUUAACUCUGAUCAGUUGGAGGGAAGUCUGCUGCUGGUCGCACAGUCUCAUG